rnacentral:rRNA from 1 species
CUGCGGAAGGAUCAUUACCGAGUGUAGGGUUCCUAGCGAGCCCAACCUCCCACCCGUGUUUACUGUACCUUAGUUGCUUCGGCGGGCCCGCCAUUCAUGGCCGCCGGGGGCUCUCAGCCCCGGGCCCGCGCCCGCCGGAGACACCACGAACUCUGUCUGAUCUAGUGAAGUCUGAGUUGAUUGUAUCGCAAUCAGUUAAAACUUUCAACAAUGGAUCUCUUGGUUCCGGCAUCGAUGAAGAACGCAGCGAAAUGCGAUAACUAGUGUGAAUUGCAGAAUUCCGUGAAUCAUCGAGUCUUUGAACGCACAUUGCGCCCCCUGGUAUUCCGGGGGGCAUGCCUGUCCGAGCGUCAUUGCUGCCCAUCAAGCACGGCUUGUGUGUUGGGUCGUCGUCCCCUCUCCGGGGGGGACGGGCCCCAAAGGCAGCGGCGGCACCGCGUCCGAUCCUCGAGCGUAUGGGGCUUUGUCACCCGCUCUGUAGGCCCGGCCGGCGCUUGCCGAACGCAAAUCAAUCUUUUUCCAGGUUGACCUCGGAUCAGGUAGGGAUACCCGCUGAACUUAAGCAUAUC